AUGUUUUAAAAGAUGAACAAAGAUAGAACAAUGCUCGUGUGCACACGAGUGAUGUUUCCGAACGCAGCCUAACUAUUGGCAAUCUCGGAAGACGAAGAAGCGCCAAUCCAAAAAUUCUAUUUAUCGUAUAUGCGUGUGUAACAUGUUCGUGCAUGUCCACAUUUCUCGUCCAUGGUUCAUUGUUCGCACUGUGUUCCUCAAGUGUUAUUACAAGUGGUAUUUUUUGGACGUUUUUCUGUAUAUUAAAUUGUGCCGUGAUGGAUAAUUUUUCGAAGGAACUAUUAAAAUCUUGGGAUUUAGACAUUCUUAUCAAACAUUUUGAAGGUCACUGAAAAAUGAAGAUUUUGAUUCUUUAUCUAAGGAAAUUGAAGAACUGUUUCCAAUAGAAACAUGUAGCACAUGCUACGUUCCACCUAUAGCUAAAAAAUUUUCCAGAAAUAAUAAAUCAAUAACAUCUCAUGGUAAACUCGUUGACAAAUACAGGAAUAAAAUACAGGACUAUAGAAAACUAACAGGAUAUAGUUUAACAGAAUGUAGUUCCACAUCAAUUUCAACGACAUAUAAUAGUGAAUUAAAAGAUGACUCUACAAUUCGUGAAAGCAUAUUGUAGGCUUCAGAAUAAUUUGUCACCAUGGCAAUUAGUUGAAAAUCAUUGGAAAGCGACUUUAGCAUAUAGACGGAAUCAAAUUCAAACAUCUCAAAAUAAAAACUUAGCUGAAAUUUUUUCUGAAUGGCCGGUUUUAAAACAUCCUACAGCAUAUACUUUGAUUGAUGAAGAUUUUAGAUUUCUUAAUUUAACAUCAGAGGAUUGUAUAAAUAAUUGGUUUCAGUUUUUUUCUAAGAUUCAAGAAGUUUGUCCUCUUAAAGAUGAUAAAGUGAUAAAUGAGUUACAUUCUGUAAUUGAAAUGGAAAAUGUAAAAGAUGAUGCUAAAGUUAUAGUACAAAUUCUAUUAUUGUCUCAUCUGAUACCUCCCAAAGGAAGAAUUCGCUUAAAACAAGAACAUUACAAAUCAUCUAUAAGUGAAUGUAAAAACAGCAUCGUAUUACAUGCAAAGAUACCUGGAGAUAUAAGUCGCAUUCAAGAUGAUAAAAUAAAAAGAGUAUAACGUCUAGGAUUGACAAUACAGCCAUACAUAAUAGUUGUUGGUGCUACUCUUGCAGAAGUUAAUUCUAUGUUUGUAUUGAUAAGGUAUUAUAUCAAGUUUCAACGGCACUAGCGGCAGUUGAUUUAUGUUUUAAAAUCUUCCAUGUAUUUGAUGUUAAUUAUCCGCCAGAAAGUGAACACAUCUGGUAUAUCGUGCAGCUUUACCUUUAUAAGUUUUCGACAAAGUAUGACAAACAAAUUUCGUAUGUAAUGCCAAUUAUUAAUGUUUUUAAAACAUUUAAUUCUACAAACAAUUUGUAAUUUGUAAAAAACAUUAUUUUAAACAUACGAAAUUUGUUACAUGUUCGUUAUUAAAUAUUAUAACAAAAAAUUUUAAUUUCUAUUCCUUAUAAAGUUAUAUUUAUAAAUAUUUAUCUUCUUAUUUUAAUAUUUCUGCCAUAACAUGUAUAAGUGUCCAUUUUGUGCUAAUAAUUCUCCGACAAUCAAAUUUCUUGUAGCACAUUUAAAAUUGGCACAUAGCGCAUCAUCGUCUUCUUUUAAAAACAGCAAAAUUGCAUGCAUAGCUUUAUAAAUAUAUAUUCAUUUAAACGUCAUUUAAUCCAAAAGCAUA